ACUUCACACUGCAGUGAGUGAAGCUCCUCGGCGGCCGCAGCUGUAAUGAUGGAACAUCUCAGCUGCCGCGGAGGACGGAGAGGAGACAGGAACUGCGCUGUCUAUGCUGAAGGAAGACAUUAAGUGGAAACAUGUCGGUGGAGGGUCUGUGGACCUUGCUGAAGUGAACCAUCACUGGGACUGGACGAGGCAUAUCAUGUGAGGGGUGGUGGUCCGGACUUUAUACCCUCCUUCAGAAAUGUGUUGGUUUUAAACCACUUCUGAUAAGACGGCCAUUCCGGGUAGGACGAAGGAGUAAGGUCCAGAGGAAUAUCCCCCCAAAAAACCUUUAUGAGAAUUGCUGUACUUUUGAAGCUAACAAGUCUGGUCUAUAUCGAAGUCUAACCAUUCUGCUUCUAAGCAUUGUACGUGUUCGUUUUCCCACAUCUCCAUUCAAAUAUCUCCACUUUGCAAUCACUUCAGAAUCUACUGUAUUCACUAAGAAGUUUAUUAAUCAUCAGACUUUAUUAUCACAGCAAGACAAACUGGUACAGAAGGAGAACAGAAGAAUUUACAGAAACAGUAAAAAAUAUUGACUAUGAUACAAGAACGUUUCUCCAGUGACUCUAUUUUGGAAAUCAGACUUCUAAAGAGGAAGGUGAUGACACACCGGUCCAAUAACUCAACAAUCACACAAAACCAACACAACCGGUUCAGUUAUUUCACCAUUUACGAAUACUGCGGCAUUGAGGAACCAAAUCUAUUAGGUGGCCGGAUUUCAACUGGACUUGAUGACUUUUUUCAGUCUAAUGGCUAUGAGCGAAUUAUAUCUAAGAAGGAGCAUUCCACGGUCGUCAUACGCUCACUGUAGAAUUCCACUGCUGUCAUGUUUAUUGCAGAGGUCUCUUGCUGGCAUGCAUUCACUGUGGAGAGUUACACUAGUCAUGCACACAUUUUAUAGUUCCAGGGUUGCCAUGUAUUCACUGUAUGCACGCCAUACAUUCUAUGGGCAAGGUCAGUGUUAAGUAAGUAUCAAGCCACCUAGGCUCUGUACAAUCGCCUUGUUACAUUGGAUAAAAGGCUGGUGUCUGAGUGAUUAACAAAACAUUGCCAGCAUUUGAAACAUUGUGUUUAACCCUUAUACACUAUGGUAUACACUAUGGGGCCAGUUUAAUUACAGGCUACAUCAAUUGCCCCCAAUUCACCCCAAAAUGGUGCGAUUCCAUUUGCAGGACAAUAGGGGGUAUAUUCACUAAAGGGUAGGUUCACAGAAGUGGAGAUGUUGCCCAUGGCAACCAAUCAGAUUCUACUUAUCAUUUAUCUAGCACCUCCUAGAAGAUAAUAGCUAGAAUCUAUUUGGUUGCUAUGGGAAACAUCUCCACUUCUACAAAUCCACACUUAUGAGGUAUUUCCACUGCACCGAGUGUCACACAGCAUAGUGACGCCCCUGAAUUUAAAUGUACAUAUUGUGAUUUAGAAGUGUGUAUAUACAAGCAGUAGAAUAUUGAGAAAAAAUACUACCAACUACCAUCUAGAAGGUAUGAAAAAAACUUUUGUAUCAAUACAGUACAUACAAGUCCCCCAUCAUUAAUCCAUGUCUUUCCUUUUCAGAGAAAAUGACAUGAAACAUGAAUUGUCCUCAUUGGCCAUACAUACUCAUUAGGGGUGUGGUGCUAGAGAUACUGCAUUGUGCCUGUCAUUUUUACAUUUUACACUAACUUUGGAGCUGCAGAAUAAAAGCCGCGAUUUCUCCCUUGUAAA